rnacentral:sRNA from 1 species
GAUGAAUGUUCUUUUGCUAAAAGCGCAAACGGUCCUGUUUGCAACGCAAAAGUCAGCACAUCCUGUGCA